rnacentral:rRNA from 1 species
CCUACGGGGGGCAGCAGUGAGGAAUAUUGGUCAAUGGCCGGAAGGCUGAACCAGCCAUGCCGCGUGAAGGUCAGUGCCCUAUGGGCGUUAAACUUCUUUUGUGCGGGAGCAAUAAUGGUCACGUGUGGCCAGACGAGAGUACCGUACGAAUAAGCAUCGGCUAACUCCGUGCCAGCAGCCGCGGUAAUACGGGGGAUGCAAGCGUUUUACGGGUUUUUUGGGGUUAAAGGGUGCGUAGGGUGUGAGGUAAGUCAGCGGUGAAAUGCCGCCGGUCAACGGGGUGAAGUGCCAUUGAUACUGCCUUGCUGGAAUGCGGAUGCCGUGGGAGGAAUGUGUGGUGUAGCGGUGAAAUGCAUAGAUAUCACACAGAACACCGAUUGCGAAGGCAUCUCACGAAUCCGCGAUUGACGCUGAUGCACGAAAGCGUGGGUAUCAAACAGGAUUAGAUACCCUUGUAGUC